UUGACCAAAAAUGCAAGACAAACUAUCGCAAGAUAUUAAGUAUCUCUUUUGGUUAUAUAUAUCACAGGGUGUAUCUCUAUAUUAAGUAUACCUGGCACAUAUAUCUCUUUUGCUCUUCCUCUUUUGCCUAUUUAAGUUCUGUAUCUUUAUUGUAUGAACUUUACUUCCUUUUGCCACUUUUUUUGAGACUUGACCAAAAAUGCAAGACAAACUAUCACAAGAUAUUGCACAGAUUAACUAUGAGGCACCAAAUGGUGUGCAAGAUGUCACUACGAUGCUCAAGGCCACGAGGCCCAGCAAUAUUUAUUGCACAGAUUAACUAUGAGGCACCAAAUGGUGUGCAAGAUGUCACUACUAUGCUCAAGGCCACGAGGCCCAGCAAUAUUCAAAUAGCUAGUCUCGAUGGGCUCAAAUUUGUCGUGAAGGGGUCGAAUGACUCACAAAGACUGGUUGAUCUGUAUGAUGACAUUCGUAAAAUGAUACUGUAUUUUAACAUAUAUUUGAGAUGGAUGAUCUGCCAGAUGGUGACGGGCAAUCUGAUACACACUCUACUGAUGCAAAUUGGCUGUCCUCACAUGAAGAGCAUAAGUUCCAAUCCAUUUCCUUGGCUAAGCAGGACCACAAUUCGGAUUUGGCAGAUUCUUCUCUUAACUGUAUGAAAGGUGACCAUUCAUUUUGCGCUUCUCAGGAAUUAUGGUCUACUGGAUUUCUAUCGAGUCCAAUACCCAAUGGAUUUUACUCAAUUAUACCGGAUAAGAAACUGAAGGAGUGUUUUGACGCCAUUCCUUCUCCUGAUGAUCUAUAUUCCCUUGGAAUAGAGGGCUUCAAGGCUGAGAUAAUUCUUGUGGACUUGGAGAAGGAUAAAAAGCUAUCUGCGAUAAGGCAGCUAUGUGUAGCUCUGGUAAAAGGAUUGAGUUCUAACCCAGCCGCAAUGAUAAAAAAGCUUGCAGGUUUGGUUUGUGACUUCUAUAAGCGACCAAACCCACAGCUCAGCCCUGCAAGAACUUCUUCUGAAGAAAUUUUUCAUUUCAUGGAAAACAAGGGAAUUCAAUUGUUGGGGCAGAUACGACAUGGAUCUUGUCGGCCCAGAGCAAUUUUAUUUAAAGUCCUUGCUGACUCUGUUGGUAUAGAUUCUAAGCUGUUGGUGGGCAUUUCAGAUGAAGAAUCUCAUGAACGCGAUGACUCACCCAAACAUAUGUCUGUUGUUGUUAUGCUGAAGUCCAUGGAGUUUCUCGUUGAUCUAAUGCGUUUUCCAGGACAACUAAUUCCAUUCUCAUCCAAAGCUAUAAUCACAUCCCAUAUAUCUGCUGCUGGAGAGAGUGACUCUGCUGACUAUGAUUCUUGUGAUUCUCCUCUUGAACCGAAUAGUCCUUUGUGCUCUCAACGGCAAGAGCAAGAUGAAAACAAUAGGUCAUUUAAAGUUCCGUCCCUAAGAGACAUCAUGCGCCGAACUUCAAACUCUAUGGAGGGCAAAUUGAGAUGUUCAUCACAUAGUGAACCAAAUGUUGCAAAUGCCUUAUGUGGACGCCGUGGGAGGAAAGCUAAUGAACAUCAAAGAACUGCCAGUUCAAGUCCAGACCAUCCAUUGUCCAGAGCACAUGGACGCUCAAACUUGGGUGAUAGACAGUACGGAGAUGGUGUAGCUGUAUCAAGGUACCUCAAUGGUGCAUCAACGUCAAGUGCGCGGAGAGGACGUCCAAAAAGUAUGAGUACAUCCCCUGAAAUUGGUGAUGACUUUGCGAGGGCAGUUAAAGAAAUGAGUGAAAGCAUGAGGAAAAAUCGCCAUUCAAGGGCACAUAAUGAUGGUAGUCCAGGACAUUCAAAUGAUUCACAGAGAAAAGAGGAAUCAGUAGGUGACCUCAACGAUGAUGAGGUGUCAGUAAGAGAACCAAAUGUUCAGGAGGGUUCAAGAAGGCACAUUAUUACUCAGAAGGCAUUGUCAUUACCUUCAUCACCGCAUCGGUUAGGUAACCAUGGUUCUAAUCUUAGAGAGCCAGCUGACUUCCUUACAGCAGAAGAUCUGAUGUCCACUUGGAAUAAAGCAUUGCAAUCUUCACCAUUUCUGAACAAGCCAUUAUUGCCUUUUGAAGAAUGGCAUAUUGGGUUCUCAGAGAUUGCUGUUGGCACUCGUGUUGGAAUAGGUUUUUUUGGGGAAGUUUUCCGUGGUAUCUGGAAUGGAACAGAUGUAGCUAUAAAAGUAUUUCUGGAGCAAGAUUUAACAAUGGAGAAUAUGGAAGAUUUCUGCAAUGAGAUCUCUAUACUUAGGUUUUCAUAUAGCUUUGCUGCAAUUUCUGUUAUUCUAGCAGUUCUGUUCUCUUAUUAUUUCCUUUUUCUUAUUUUCAGCCGUCUCCGACAUCCCAAUGUCAUAUUGUUCCUUGGUGCAUGUAUGAAGUCUCCUCACUUAUCCCUAGUCACUGAAUAUAUGGAAAUGGGUUCCUUGUACUAUUUGAUUCACACAAGUGGCCAGAAAAGUAAGAUCAGUUGGCGAAGGAGGCUAAAAAUGCUCCGUGAUAUCUGUAGGGGUCUUAUGUGUAUGCACCGUCUGAAGAUAGUUCAUCGUGAUCUAAAGAGUGCGAAUUGCCUUGUUAACAAGCACUGGACAGUCAAGUUAUGUGAUUUUGGGCUCUCUCGGUUAUUGUCGAAUUCUGCAAUGAGUGACAACUCAUCUGCAGGCACUCCAGAGUGGAUGGCUCCUGAGCUUAUUCGUAACGAACCAUUUACAGAAAAGUGUGAUAUCUUUAGCCUUGGAGUUAUCAUGUGGGAGCUUUGCACUCUGAGUAGGCCCUGGGCAGGAAAGCCGCCAGUUCAGGUUGUUUACUCUGUUGCGAACGAAGGGGCAAGAUUGGAAAUACCAGAUGGACCUCUGGGUAACUUGAUAGCAGUAACCCCUGGCAGAAACUUUUCAAAACACUGGGCAUCAAGCUUCACAUGAGUACUUCAUACCAUCCCCAGUCUGAUGGGCAGACAGAAAGGGUUAACCAAUGCUUGGAAAAUUACCUCGGUGCAUGGCUUUCCAACAGCCUACUAAGUGGCACUCCUGGCUGGCACUAGCUGAAUGUGGACUCACCUGACUUGCUGCUCAACAAGGACCUAGCUCACCAAGCAAAAUUUGCAGAAAGCACAAGAAAGAAUGAAACACUUUGUUGACAAAAAGAGAAAAGAAAGGAUCUUCCAGGAAGGUGAUAUGGUGUAUCUCAAGAUCCGCCCAUACAGACAUACCUCUCUCAGUAUCCAUAGACAUUUGAAACUACACUCCCAAGUACUAUGGGCCUUUCAGAAUUCUCAAAAGAGUGGGUAAUCAUGCUUAUCAGUUCUGCCUGAAGGGUGCAAGCUUCAUAACACAUUCCAUGUGAGUCAGCUCAAGCAACACAUUGGUACACAUGUCAUUCCCACCCCCACCUGCCAUCGGUGACUGAACAAGGGCAGAUACUACUCCAACCUGAAGCUAUCCUAGACAGAAAAUUAAUUCCUCGACCUCAAGGUGAUAUCUCCAUUCCUGUGGUCAGAUGGUUGGUGAAAUGGCUCAAUUUACCUGUAGAAGAAGCUAGCUGGGACGAUUCUGCAUUUAUCCAGAAAAUCUUCCCAGAUUUCCAGCCUUGAGGACAAGUCUGAUCUUCACACGGGGGUAUUGUCAGGCCCUCCUCUGCUCUCUGAAUCUCCUGUACCUGUUCAUCGUCCGACAACAGCCGUAGACCGUCAUAUCCUCAUCGCGUGGAUGGAGUGUAGUCAUGAAGCGGUACACAGUUACUUAAGCCGUCAUCUGAGCAUCGUCCGAUCUCCAUCCGUCGGCUAUGAUCCAAUCACUGUAGCGUGCACACUUACUGUACCUGUUCAUGUCGCUGUCAGGCUGCUUUUACCUUCAGUAAACUUUUCCUCUUUAUAAAGACCUCAGAUCCCAUCGGGAGAGGCAUCGAAUGUAAACUGGGUUGUAACCCGAGCCGCCACUGGAGUGGUUGGCCUACUUUCCUCUUCUUGUAAGAACCCUAGCGAGUUUCCUCUGAAAUCAAGCAAGAAUUCCUCUGAAA